AUUGAACGCUGGCGGCAGGCCUAACACAUGCAAGUCGAGCGAGCGGCGGACGGGUGAGUAAUGUCUGGGAAACUGCCUGAUGGAGGGGGAUAACUACUGGAAACGGUAGCUAAUACCGCAUACCAUCAGAUGUGCCCAGAUGGGAUUAGCUAGUAGGUGUGGUAACAGCUCACCUAUGCGACGAGCCCUAGCUGGUCUGAGAGGAUGAACAGCGACGCUUGAACUGGGCCACGGCCCAGACUCCUACGGGAGGAAGCAGUGGGGAAUAUUGGACAAUUGGCGCAAGCCUGAUGCAGACAUGCGGCGUGUGUGAAGAAGGCCUUCGGGUUGUAAAGCACUUUCAGCGGGGAGGCGUUACCCGCAGAAGAAGCACCGGCUAACUCCGUGCCAGCAGCCGCGGUAAUUC
rnacentral:rRNA from 1 species